GGAGCGGGCGGGGGCGCGGUGCCGCUGAGGGGCCGAGGGCUGCCCCGCUCCCCGUCAGCGUCCCCGUGGCUCCGGCACCGGUGCCGUCACUUUCCAGCUCCCGCGUCUCCUGCCUCUGGUGAGGCAGCUAGGUGCCCGCCGGCUUUCCGGCUCUUUGCGCCCCGGGCGGCGGCCAUCUCUGAGGGGAGAAGGCCCGGGCCUGCAGCCUUGUCACCCCCGGUCAGUGCUUGAGGGGCUGCCUCCCCCCCCGCCGCCGUCUUCUCACGGCGUCAGAAGAGGGUUGCUGGAAAAAAAGCGGCAUCCGUUGGAUCGAAAAUGGAGAACCUCACAGAAAAUCCAGUGAGGUGCAGCCUGGGAUCCCAAGGGAACAAGACUGCUUGUAAACCUGUGCUGUGAGAUGGCAAGGAAUUUCUCUGGCAGCAGGAGAACCGAGGGGCAGGAUCGGGAAGUUGCAAACCUGAUGCUGCCAGAAUGACCUGCAGGGGAGACAUUUCACCGGGGGGGCCAGACUAAAUCCAGUCCAGGAAAACCUCAGAUUCUGUCCAAUGGAGAUGCGAAGAGCCCCAGAACUUUUUAUGUGCUGACCUGCUCCGUUUGUAUCAAACGAUGUGCUAAUGUAGCCGUAGCCAAAAAGGCCUAGGAUAAAUCUGGGAAAUGUGGAAAAAAAGGAGAGAACAGGAGAAUUUCCUCCUUUCCACCCAGUGUAAUCAGCUGCUGUCCGAUUGUGAACUGGACAAGGGGUGGUACGGUACUCAUCCUCGUGGCCAGGUCCUGGUGCGGCGAUACGUGUUGCCAUAUUGACAAAGCAACAACUGAAGUGAGGUGUCUGAACUGAUCUCUGCUUGCUAUUCUGCGUGAUGUGAAACAGAAAAAAAACUAUUUAACACAUACAGAUCAGAUCCACUAUUAGCUUUCUUCAAUUAGUUGUAUCUCAGGCCGUAUGUUCGUCUGUAAGCUUGGCCUACGUAUACAUGUUGCACUGUAACAACCAGAUUAAUUAGAAGCAUGAUUUUUCUAUUUACCAAAAUAAUUACUUCCUCGGUAACAUAAC